GAGGAAGUAAAAGUCGUAACAAGGUUUCCGUAGGUGAACCUGCGGAAGGAUCAUUAUUGAAACUCACGGGGGCGCGUGCUAAGACCUGCACCGGUGGCGACGCCGUGCUGCGGUCUGGCUUGCGUCCUCUUCCAAACCCAAACACCUGUGAACCUUUGGGAUGGCGUGCUGUAACGGCCGUCGUCCCGUUUACACCAACUCUGAUGUCUAUUUGAAUGUGACUCGGGGCCUCCCCGAUUUAAACUUAAAACAACUUUCAACAACGGAUCUCUUGGCUCUCGCAUCGAUGAAGAGCGCAGCGAAAUGCGAUAAGUAAUGUGAAUUGCAGAAUUCAGUGAAUCAUCGAAUCUUUGAACGCACCUUGCGCUCCUUGGUAUUCCGAGGAGCAUGCCUGUUUGAGUGUCUUGAAAUCAUCAAACCCCUCUGGUUUCUGCUGGAGCGGGUUUGGACUUGGGGGUUUUGCUGCCUCUGGUGGCUCCCCUUAAAAGAAUCGGUCGGGCUUUCGUGUGGCUUGUCCCUUGGCGUUGUAUCAACCUCGUCGCUGGAUGGCUCGCGAGCUUAGCGCCCCUCCAAGACCAGCCUCUGGAGUGGCGGUCAACUUCAAUUUGUGAUCUGACCUCAAAUCAGGUAGGACUACCCGCUGAACUUAAGCAUAUCAAUAAGCGGAGGAAAAGAAACUAACAAGGAUUCCCCUAGUAACUGCGAGUGAAGCGGGAAAAGCUCAAAUUUGAAAUCUGGCGGCUCCGCCGUCCGAGUUGUAUUCUGGAGAAGCGUUUUCCGUGCUGGACCGUGCAGUCUCCUG
rnacentral:rRNA from 1 species